rnacentral:rRNA from 1 species
UACAGAGGUGGCAAGCGUUGUUCAGAAUUACUGGGCGUAAAGGGCGCGUAGGCGGUUGCCUAAGUCGGACGUGAAAUCCCCAAGCUUAACUUGGGAACUGCAUCUGAUACUGGGUGACUUGAGUUCGGGAGAGGAAUGUGGAAUUCCAGGUGUAGCGGUGAAAUGCGUAGAUAUCUGGAGGAACACCGGUGGCGAAGGCGGCAUUCUGGACCGAAACUGACGCUGAGGCGCGAAAGCGUGGGGAGCAAACAGG